rnacentral:lncRNA from 10 species
AGAGAUGCGCAGUGCUGCCCCUUUCUAUGGGCAGGGCCGAAGGUCCGCGUGUAAAAGUACCCAGUCCCUGGUAACCUGACACUUCCCUUUUAAAAGCCACCUUUUGUCUAUCUCUGGCCUGCCACGAUUCUUCCUGUGCUCCAUAGGAGGACCCAUUGGACCCCCGGGCUGGCUGCAGGGCCCACACCUGGGUUAGACCUCGCACAGGGACGCUGCUGCCACUGUAAUAAAGCGUGCCUACACGCUUCUGAAACUGGUGUAGGAACAACCUCAGUUCUGUGAAAGGCGGACGCAGCAGGACAGAAUCUCCGUGGACAUCUGUCUGGAGGAGCAAUUUUACUGCGACAUUUUAAAGAAACAAAUUUAAUUGAUUUCCAAGGGUGUCCAUCGCGCUUCCUUCACUGCCUUGAUCAUGUCGGGGUCACCACCUGCGGGGGUUUGUCCUGCAGACCCUGACUCAACGACGGAUGAAUAAUGUACACUGACACAGAUCUUAUGCUUGUCAGUCCUGCUGAGCAUCCAGGCCACUUACAGACUCCAAGAAGAGUCCUGUCAGCCACGGCUCUGACUUGUUGGCCCUCCCGGCAUUUAUUUAGCACACAUUUAAUGACAGAAGUCUCAGGCUGGAAACACUCUUUUUGUAGAACAUACAAAUGGACAUUUCUAAGCACAUUGAGGCCUAUAAUGAAAAAUCAAAUAUCCCACAAUGAAAACUAGAAGGAAGCUAUCUGUGAUAAUGCUUUGUGGUGUAUGGAUUCAUCUCACUGACUGAAACCUGAGUUUUGAUUCACCAGGUUGGAAACACUUUUACUGUAUUAUCUAUGAAGAAACGUUUUUGAGGCCAUUAAGUCCUACACUGAAAAACUG